rnacentral:rRNA from 1 species
CACGAACGCUGGCGGCGUGCUUAACACAUGCAAGUCGAACGGUGAAGGGGAGCUUGCUCCCCGGAUCAGUGGCGAACGGGUGAGUAACACGUGGGCAACCUGCCCCAGACUUCGGGAUAACGCUUCGAAAGAGGUGCUAAUACCGGAUACGAACUCCUUGGGCAUCCUGGGAGUUGGAAAGUUUUUCGGUCUGGGAUGGGCCCGCGGCCUAUCAGCUUGUUGGUGAGGUAACGGCUCACCAAGGCGACGACGGGUAGCCGGCCGGAGAGGGCGACCGGCCACACUGGGACUGAGACACGGCCCAGACUCCUACGGGAGGCAGCAGUGGGGAGUAUUGGACAAUGGGCGGAAGCCUGAUCCAGCAACGCCGCGUGAGGGAUGACGGCCUUCGGGUUGUAAACCUCUUUCAGCUCCGACGAAGCGCCCGUGAGGGUGGUGACGGUAGGUGCAGAAGAAGGACCGGCCAACUACGUGCCAGCCGCCGCCGUAACAC